CCUACGGGGGGCAGCAUCAAAGACCGUAUUGCUUUGUCGAUGGUAGAAGAUGCCGAGAAGAGGGGCGUCCUCAAAGCCGGUAGCGUAAUUAUUGAACCAACUUCAGGAAACACCGGUAUUGGACUUGCCCUCGUUGCUGCUGUAAAAGGUUAUCGUUUAAUCCUGGCAAUGCCUGAAUCGAUGUCGGUUGAGCGGCGCAGGAUAUUGACAGCUUACGGCGCUGAAUUAGCGUUAACGCCACGCGAAUUGGGAAUGAAAGGUGCUAUUGCCAAAGCUCAGGAGUUGUCGGCUGAGAUACCCCUGUAGUC
rnacentral:rRNA from 1 species